UAACUCUUACCUGUACAACUAUAUAC
rnacentral:sRNA from 1 species